rnacentral:rRNA from 1 species
ACUCCUACGGGAGGCAGCAGGUGGGGAAUAUUGCAGCAAUGGGCGCAAGCCUGGAUGCAGCCAUGCCGCGUGUAUGAAGAAGGCCUUCGGGUUGUAAAGAUACUUUUCAGCAGUGAGGAAGGUGGGUAUGUUAAUAGCAUAUCUUCAUUUGACGUUAGCUGCAGAAGAAGCACCGGCUAACUCCGUGCCAGCAGCCGCGGUAAUACGGAGGGUGCGAGCGUUAAUCGGAAUUACUGGGCGUAAAGCGCAUGCAGGUGGUUUGUUAAGUCAGAUGUGAAAGCCCGGGGCUCAACCUCGGAAUUGCAUUUUGAAACNGGCAAACUAGAGUACUGUAGAGGGGGGGUAGAAUUUUCAGGUGNAGCGGUGAAAUGCGUAGAGAUCUGAAGGAAUACCGGUGGCGAAGGCGGCCCCCCUGGACAGAUACUGACACUCAGAUGCGAAAGCGUGGGGAGCAAACAGAUUAGNUACCCUGGUAGCUNGAGU